CCCCGUGUUUUUCAAAAACAUGGUCUUUUGUUUAAAUAAAAGAUUUGGCCUGCCCAAUGAUUUAAUUUAAUGGCUGCAGUAUUUUGACUGUACAAAGGUAGCAUAAUCAUUUGUCUUUUAAUUGAAGGCUGGUAUGAAUGGUUUGAUGAAAAAUAUACUUUCUUUAUUUUAUAUAAAAAAUUUAACUUUCUAUUUAAAAGGAUAGGAUAUUUUUAUAGGACGAGAAGACCCUAUAGAAUUUUAUUUUCUUAAAUCUAUAAUUUUUUUAGUUUAAUAUAAAAUUAUAGAUUUAUGUUAAUUUUGUUGGGGUGACAGAAAAAAUUAUAUAACUUUUUCUAUUUUUUUCAUUUAUAUAUGAUUUUUGAUCCCUUUUUAAGGAUAAAAGAUUAAAUUACCUUAGGGAUAACAGCGUUAUUUUUUUAUAGAGUUCUUAUCGAUGAAGAAGUUUGCGACCUCGAUGUUGGAUUAAAAUAAGUGGCAGGGGUAGAAUAUUGCUUACUAGGUCUGUUCGACCUUUAAAUUUUUACAUGAUUGAUUUUCAACCGG
rnacentral:rRNA from 1 species